ACAGGUGUCUGUUUAUCAGACUUAAUAGAGAAUCCGGUACAAGCCGGAGCGGUCCCGCCACUGUAAGGAAGAGUGCGGCGCAAUUAUGUCACUGGGCUGAGGAGAAUUCAGCCUGGGAAGGCGCGCCAAGCGAUGACGCCGAGCCAGGAGAACUGCCUGUUUUAU
rnacentral:ncRNA from 1 species